rnacentral:rRNA from 1 species
GCUUCAUUCAAAUAUCUGCCCUAUCAACUUUCGAUGGUAGGAUAGUGGCCUACCAUGGUUUUAACGGGUAACGGGGAAUAAGGGUUCGAUUCCGGAGAGGGAGCCUGAGAAACGGCUACCACAUCCAAGGAAGGCAGCAGGCGCGCAAAUUACCCAAUCCCGACCGGGGAGGUAGUGACAAUAAAUAACAAUAUAGGGCUCUUUUGGGUCUUAUAAUUGGAAUGAGUACAAUUUAAACCCCUUAACGAGGAACAAUUGGAGGGCAAGUCUGGUGCCAGCAGCCGCGGUAAUUCCAGCUCCAAUAGCGUAUAUUAAAGUUGUUGCAGUUAAAAAGCUCGUAGUUG